rnacentral:ncRNA from 1 species
CCGAUAAAGGCAAACUUAACGAAAGUUAAGGACGCAAAACUACAGGGCCUUCCUUUUUAUAGAUGGCAGCCAGUUACCGA